UUCUCUCUUUGGUUAACACAUUCCUAGUUAUGCACUUUAUCUCAUUUUCAAAGAAGGCCUCUAUUUAUGAAGAGUCACAGCCAUUUUCUUCUGGAUGGAAAUGCUGCCCUCAAGCUGCCAUUGUAACCUGAAACAAGGAUGCUUCAUUGCUUCAGAAAAGACCCCAGGGACUCUUAUUCAUACACAUAUUUAUCUUCUUCGUGAUGUACACACAGAUUUCCAUUGUGAAGAAAAGCUGUGUGAUUCCAAAAGGCUGUGCCUUUCAGGAAAUGAACAUUUUUUCAGGAUUGAGAUUAAACUGCAGCAUUUGGGGGAAGAGAGGAGGAAUCUUACCAGAAAAGCACUUCGCUACCGAGAACUAUGUGAACCAGUGCCUGAGCGCAUAAUGGAGCUCUCCCCACUGCAAGGAUCUGUCCCCAGGACAUCAGCUGCAAGUUUGCAUGGCUAGCCCUCUCUCCUCCUCUAUUCUGAUGUAUGCUCAGAACAUUGCAAGUAUCUUCAAGUAGUCAUAUGAAAAUGAAAGACUUUAUUUUCACUUUGAUGCCGUAAAACAUUUAUCUCAAGUGUAUAUAUGGAAACAUAAUGAAGACUUUUUUUUUUCUUCAUUUGCAAUUAGGUAUUUGCUUUGGAGUUUUUAACACUUAACCCCAAACACACAUACAGCCACACUCAAGACAGAUCUCUGGUAAAAAAAACAAAACAACUGAGGCCUGAAUUUUCAGAUGUACAGAGCACCUGCAGUUCCUGUUGACAUCAACUGCCAGGCUCUCAGCACUACUGAAACUCUGAUCUUAAUUUAUAGAACACCAUAGGCAUAUUUAUUCUCUAAUGAGCAGUUAGCAUUUGGUGCACUUUAAAGUGAUAAAGGUGCAGAUAGAGGAAGGAGAAAAAAAGGUAGAGUUAAAUUAUCCAGAAAACUUAUUUGUUCUGUUGUUCUCUAUGCCUUAUCAAUCCUGUGUUUGACAUCAUUCAGCUUAGCUGAUACGUUUGAAGAUUAAGUACAAAUGGCACACAAAAUGUAUUUCUAACCAUCUCUUCCUCUCACAUAAAGAACCUUGUUUACCCUUAUGUAAGUACAGCCUGAAGAACAAGUCCAUAUGUUUAGUCAGUAAGGACAAUGAAGGCAAGAAGCCACAGGAAAAGCAGCUGUCCUGGCUAGCACUGGGAGCUGUACCUGGCCUGCAGCUAUGGAGACACACACACAGCUGAGUAGCUGGCUCCACCAGCGUGGCUCCUGCUGUCUGCAUUGGAAGCAGUUGCUGGCCAGCAGGCUACAAAGGAAGAGCAAUCGUACCCUCUCUAGGAAGAUUUCUCUGUGUUCACCCGUACUCCUUUUCUUAUUUUCCAACCCAUCAAUUAAAUUAUUCAUUUCUGAUAUACAUUGUGGAAUACUUUAUGACCACACAGAAUGACUUUUCACUUGCCAAAACAAUGCUGUUGUGUACAUUCAACAUUAACUCCACCAGCCAAUUCUCACCUUUCCUUUUCAAUCCUCCACUUGUAAUCAUUUGACUCUCACAUAAUAGUAAUAAUAAUAAUAAUAAUAAUAAUAAUAAUAAUAAUAAUAAUAAUAAUGUUGAACUACAGUGUUGCAUAAUAUUACUUUACUAAUGUUUAUUAACAAAAAGCAAUUAAGUCUAUUUCAGUCUAUUCUAUGUGAAAAGGGCAGUCUUGUGCUUUUCUAAGAGGGAAUGAGCCUGUCACACAGUCACUGUACAACAGCACUGGCUGUGCAAUUCUCUGAGGUUGUAGGUUUUCAGAAAUAAGGCAAGAAACAGAAAUAUUAGCACUUCUUCCACAAACAGCAUCAAAGGUGCCACUCAGGACUCUCAAGGUAAAAUUCAUUCUAGUUCUAAAGACAAAACAAUUUUAGAGGUAUUCUUGAAUAUUUUGGCAUUGUAGGAAAGACUUACAAGAAAUGGGUGCUACAUUUAUUUUUCUUGCAGUAGAGCAGUUUGAGAGAUGAGUCAACAAUUUCACUGUGGUGGAACAGAGAAAGCAAAUAUUAGCAGAAAGGACGUGAUAAUUGUUUUUGUGCACCAAGUUUUAAAAGCACAUACAUAGUGACACUAUUUUGGGGGGAUUUGUAUCUGAUAAAGUAAAACUAUAUUUCAUAGGUUCAAUUUUCAGCCUAUGUUAUAGCUUGAGAAAAUCAUGCUGAGUUAUGCUGAAGACUCAAUUGGUCUUAUUACAACUGUUGAAUGUAAUCCUUACAAGUAGAAGAGCUAUGAGCUUUUCAUGAAUGAACCUUCCAGAAUGAACCCAGCCCUUUCUUCCAACAGUCAGUACAGACAGCAACCUGAUAGACAUGAUGCAAGCUUUGGAUCAAGCUAGUCAAUGUUUUAUUUUAGUUUGUCUGAACAUCAUUCUUCAAUGACUAUAUUCUCACUAUGUUCUCCCAGUAUAAGGUCCUAUCACAACAGGCAGCAAAAGGGAAGUUCUGCAACCUUGGUGCCUACAGAGCUCUUGCAAAAAGAGCUCCACCAGCAUGGGACUACAACCACAAGAACUGAAAGCCUGUAGGCAAGGACCAGCAAGUCAUACAUAGCUAUCAUACAGGUGGGUCUCCUGCCUUUAGAUCUGCAAUGGCCAUUGCAGAUGCUAAUGCUAGCACUUUAAACUUUCCUAUCCAUAGGUCUGCAAACUGGUAUCAUUUCAGAGUCACUGCUGAGAUUUCUCAUUUAAACAAUGAUCCUACUGGAUUUAUUUGUGACUUCUGUCUAUUUAACAUUUUUAUUCUUGUCAUGUUUUGAGGAUGAGUAUACAUUCCAGAACUCAUACAUGAAGGCAAAAGACUUGUUUUAGGAACAUUGUUACUGCUACAAAUGAAGCAUUACAUAUGAUAACUUUAAAAGAACAGAAGGCUCCCAAUCAGACACCUACUGAAGAGAUACCAUGCCUGUACAAUUGGACUGCUCAAACUACUUCAUCAAUAUCUGAGACUUCCCAGUGGAAACAUUUUGUAUCCCUGAUGAAUCAACUGGUGACUUCAGAGAAGAAUCCAAAGUGUGAUACAUGUUCUCAUUCAUGAUUACCCUGAAGAAGGAUGAUAUCAUGCUGAGAUGAUAUCAUGCUGAGAUGACAGAUAUUUAUGAAGAUUUGAUAAAAUAAUUUCUGUGUCAUCACUGUCUUGAUUCUAUACAAUUAAGGGCUUAUUCAUGUGAUGCUCAGGGUGGAUAAUGAUAGGUUAAUGUUACAUGACUUUCUAUUUGAAAGACUUUUUUGAUGCUUAUUAUACUUUCCUCAGAUUUACAGCUUAUAACUGAAGAUUCCCAUCUAAAUUUGGUGUGUUUUUGUUUGUUUUGUUUUUUUUUUUUUUCUCUCCAGACAUAUUGCUGGUGUCCUUCAUCAUUGUUUUUGUACGCUGUUUAUGCUUAGCAACUUAAAUACAGACAUGAAAAUGAAAAUUAUGUAGUGCAAUGCUAAAUAAAAAUAAUUAAGUAGA